AGGUCAUGAUGUGGGCAAUUCCUUAGCAAGCUCUUGUACCUCUCCCAAGCUUCAUAUAGUGACUCUCCUGCUUGUUGUUAAAAGUUAGCAAUGGCUUUCUUGAGCUU